rnacentral:rRNA from 1 species
AACGAACGCUGGCGGCAGGCCUAACACAUGCAAGUCGAACGAAGUCUUCGGACUUAGUGGCGCACGGGUGAGUAACACGUGGGAAUAUACCUUUCGCUGGGGGAUAACAUCGGGAAACUGAUGCUAAUACCGCAUACGCCCUUCGGGGGAAAGAUUUAUCGGCGAAAGAUUAGCCCGCGUCCGAUUAGCUAGUUGGUGAGGUAACGGCUCACCAAGCCGACGAUCGGUAGCUGGUCUGAGAGGAUGAUCAGCCACACUGGGACUGAGACACGGCCCAGACUCCUACGGGAGGCAGCAGUGGGGAAUAUUGGACAAUGGGCGCAAGCCUGAUCCAGCAAUGCCGCGUGAGUGAUGAAGGCCUUAGGGUUGUAAAGCUCUUUCGCACGUGACGAUGAUGACGGUAACGUGAGAAGAAGCCCCGGCUAACUUCGUGCCAGCAGCCGCCGUAACAC